rnacentral:rRNA from 1 species
GGUGUCGCGUGGUGCCAUCGUGCACUGCGCACAGUGUAAACCCCAAAGGCGUAGACAAAUCGAUCAAGUCAUGGGAUUACGGGCUCGGCACGGGCGCAAGCCUUCGUCGGGCCCCUCCAUCCCGGGGUGUCCCACCAACCGGGCCUCCGGGCCCGUUGUGGGCAUCCCUCGAGUGCGUAGGAUGCGACCCGAAAGAUGGUGAACUAUGCCUGAUCAGGCCGAAGUCAGGGGAAACCCUGAUGGAGGGCCGAAGCAAUUCUGACGUGCAAAUCGAUGUCAGAGUGCGAACAAUCGAACCAUC